rnacentral:rRNA from 1 species
AUUAGAUAAAAAACCCAAUCCCCUUUCGGGGGCUUUCUGGUGAUUCAUAAUAACUAAACGAAUCGCAUGGCCUUGCGCCGGCGAUGGUUCAUUCAAAUUUCUGCCCUAUCAACUUUCGAUUGUAGGAUAGAGGCCUACAAUGGUUUCAACGGGUAACGGAGAUUAGGGUUCGGUUCCGGAGAGGGAGCCUGAGAAACGGCUACCACAUCCAAGGAAGGCAGCAGGCGCGCAAAUUACCCAAUCCCGACACGGGGAGGUAGUGACAAUAAAUACUGAUACAGGGCUCUUUUGGGUCUUGUAAUUGGAAUGAGUACAAUUUAAAUCCCUUAACGAGGAACAAUUGGAGGGCAAGUCUGGUGCCAGCAGCCGCGGUAAUUCCAGCUCCAAUAGCGUAUAUUAAAGUUGUUGCAGUUAAAAAGCUCGUAGUUGAACCUUGGGUCUGGCUGGCCGGUCCGCCUCACCGCGUGCACUGGUCCGGCCGGACCUUUCCUCUUGGGGAUCCGCAUGCCCUUUGCUGGG